UAGGGAAUCUUCCGCAAUGGGCGAAAGCCUGACGGAGCAACGCCGCGUGAGUGAUGAAGGUUUUCGGAUCGUAAAACUCUGUUAUUAGGGAAGAACAAAUGCGUAAGUAACUGUGCGCAUCUUGACGGUACCUAAUCAGAAAGCCACGGCUAACUACGUGCCAGCAGCCGCGGUAAUACGUAGGUGGCAAGCGUUAUCCGGAAUUAUUGGGCGUAAAGCGCGCGUAGGCGGUUUCUUAAGUCUGAUGUGAAAGCCCACGGCUCAACCGUGGAGGGUCAUUGGAAACUGGGAAACUUGAGUGCAGAAGAGGAAAGUGGAAUUCCAUGUGUAGCGGUGAAAUGCGCAGAGAUAUGGAGGAACACCAGUGGCGAAGGCGACUUUCUGGUCUGUAACUGACGCUGAUGUGCGAAAGCGUGGGGAUCAAACAGG
rnacentral:rRNA from 1 species